rnacentral:rRNA from 1 species
UAAUACGGAGGGUGCAAGCGUUGCUCGGAAUCAUUGGGCGUAAAGCGUACGCAGGCUGUUCGUUAAGUCGGGUGUGAAAGCCCGGGGCUCAACCCCGGAACUGCGCCCGAAACUGGCGAGCUUGAGUGCGGGAGAGGGAAGCGGAAUUCCUGGUGUAGAGGUGAAAUUCGUAGAUAUCAGGAGGAACACCGGUGGCGAAAGCGGCUUCCUGGCCCGACACUGACGCUCAUGUACGAAAGCGUGGGGAGCAAACAGGAUUAGAUACCCUGGUAGUCCACGCCGUAAACGAUGAGUGCUAGCUGCUGGGAAUGUUUACCGUCUCAGUGGCGAAGCUAACGCAUUAAGCACUCCGCCUGGGAAGUACGGCCGCAAGGCUA